CGUGCACGCGCCAACGCCAGAAAAGCCCUAGCCUCUUCCAGCGUCGCCUCCCUCCCUCCCUCCAGCGCCGCUUCCUCCCGUGCCUCCCUCGUCGCCUGCGGCCUCCCUCCAGCGCCGUCUCUAGCACCGACCUCCAGCAAGUAUAGCGCCAUCUCCAGCGUCGACCUCCAGCGCCGCCUCCGCACAAAAGCACUAGCCUCUCGACAUCCAGCGUCGCCUCCCUCUAGCGCUGCCUCCUUCCAGCAUCACCGACCUCCAGCGCCGCCUCCAGCCAGCAUCGCCGACCUCUAGCGCUGCCUCCCUUCAGCAUCGGGGACCUCCAGCAACCUCCCGUCCUCCACCUCCAGCGGCCUCCGGCAACCUCCCGUUCUAGAUGUUGAAUACUUUGUAUUUUUGGUUUAUCAUUUGUCUUGUGAACUAUCAGAUCAUUCAUGAUCGCACAUCUCUGAAUGGUUAUGAACAAGAAGCUACUACUUCAUCAGGGAUGACUAACUUGUUUUAUGUGGCAGGGCAGAAGUGGUUGGAUGACCACCGAUCCGAAGUUAUAGAAAGAACACAAUGGUCGCAAACCCUACCAAGAAAAAGGAGGAUGAUGAAGUGAAACAAGGGGUGGAAUGCCUCUAUGUCAAGGUCAGCAUGGAUGGAGCUCCAUAUCUCAGAAAAGUUGACCUCAGAAUGUAUUCCAACUACAAGGAACUCUCACUGGCUCUUGAGAAGAUGUUUACUUGCUUUACUAUUGCAUGUUUACUGAUUCAUGCAGAAGGUUGAGGAUCAUGAAAGGUUCAGAUGCAAUUGGUUUUGCUUGUGGUUGACCAGAUCUUGCGCCUGAUAGAAUUUGCAACAGUUCGUAUCCUGUUUCCUAACAAACUGAGUAAAGUUUGGCGCAACUCCAAGGGCCAUGGAGAAAUCCAAGAGCAGGAACUAACAAAACAUGCAGACCAAACUAGUUGCAACUGGCUCACAGAAACUGAAAGAUAUCUGUUUAGUCUUGUCUUUAUUUUGUGAUUUACCAGAGUGGAGUGAAACCUCUAGUUUACUUGCUAGUUCGUGGACAGUGUUGGUAGUUGCUGUAGAAGCGUGUUUUCAUUAAGUUGAAUGGUUUCUCUUGCA